CAACCCUCGAGCCCCCGUGGCUCGGUGUUGGGGAUCGGCCGCCCCCCGUGGCGCGCCGGCCCCGAAAUCCAGUGGCGGCCCUGCCGUAGCGUCCUCUGCGUAGUAGCACACACCUCGCAUGUGGAACGCGGUGCGGCCACGCCGUGAAACCCCCCACGAACUGAAA
rnacentral:misc_RNA from 1 species